AUUGAACGCUGGCGGCAGGCUUAACACAUGCAAGUCGAACGAGUGGCGGACGGGUGAGUAAUGCUUGGGAAUCCAGCUUAUGGAGGGGGAUAACUACGGGAAACUGUAGCUAAUACCGCGUACCAUAGUAUGAGCCCAAGUGGGAUUAGGUAGUAGGUGAGGUAAAGGCUCACCAAGGCGACGAUCUCUAGCUGGUCUGAGAGGAUGAACAGCCACACUGGGACUGAGACACGGCCCAGACUCCUACGGGAGGCAGCAGUGGGGAAUAUUGCGCAAUGGGGGCAACCUGAGGCAGCCAUGCCGCGUGUAUGAAGAAGGCCUUAGGGUUGUAAAGUACUUUCAGUCGGGAGGCGUUAACGACAGAAGAAGCACCGGCUAACUCCGUGCCAGCAGCCGCGGUAAUUC
rnacentral:rRNA from 1 species